AUUGAACGCUGGCGGCAGGCCUAACACAUGCAAGUCGAGCGGCGAGGCGGACGGGUGAGGAAUGCCGAGGAAUCUGCCUGGUAGUAGGGGAUAACGCCCGGAGACGGGCCAUAAUACCGCAGACUAGAAGAUGAGCCUAGGUCGUAUUGGCUGGUUGGUGGGGUAAAGGCCUACCAAGGCGACGAGGCGUAACUGGGCUGAGAGGAGGAUCAGUCACACGGGAACUGAGACACGGUCCAGACUCCUACGUGAGGCAGCAGGGGGGAAUAUUGGACAAUGGGCGCAAGCCUGAUCCAGCCAUGCCGCGUGUGUGAAGAAGGUCUUCGGAUUGUAAAACACUUUACUUUGGGAGGCGUUAUCAACACAAUAAGCACCGGCUAACUUCGUGCCAGCAGCCGCGGUAAUAC
rnacentral:rRNA from 1 species